UGGGGAAUUUUGGACAAUGGGCGAAAGCCUGAUCCAGCAAUGCCGCGUGUGUGAAGAAGGCCUUCGGGUUGUAAAGCACUUUUGUCCGGAAAGAAAUCCUUGGCUCUAAUACAGUCGGGGGAUACGGUACCGGAAGAAUAAGCACCGGCUAACUACGUGCCAGCAGCCGCGGUAAUACGUAGGGUGCAAGCGUUAAUCGGAAUUACUGGGCGUAAAGCGUGCGCAGGCGGUUUGCUAAGACCGAUGUGAAAUCCCCGGGCUCAACCUGGGAACUGCAUUGGUGACUGGCAGGCUAGAGUAUGGCAGAGGGGGGUGAGAAUUCCACGUGUAGCAGUGAAAUGCGUAGAGAUGUGGAGGAAUACCGAUGGCGAAGGCAGCCCCC
rnacentral:rRNA from 1 species